AGCAGUGGUAGCAAGACAGAGUUACGGGAAUUCUUCCAUCCUAUGGAGUGAGCAACGCAAAUGGGAGCCUAUGCCUUUGUAAUUUGUGGUGUUUUUACUUCCCCCAUCGGGCUGUGAGGAUAAUACCUACAAGACAUAUUCUGGGAGUUGUUCCAUGCAAGAUUCCAAUAUAGGGCUGCACUGUUUACAUUUACUACAAAUUUGUAUGCACAAGAGAGCUCAGCAUGGGAACAAAAACCUCUCUCUGAAGGCUUUCUGUAAAACUAAUUGAACGUAAUGUUCCCCAUAAUAACAGGGGAAAAACAGAAAUCUUUUUAAAGGGCAAAGUAUCUCAAAAAGUUUGCGUGAAACUUCUAUUUUCUAAUACCACAGGCAGUGUUAAACAAGUAUCUUAAAUGAAAAUGCUUCUUGAAAAUGCAUGCUUCGUAUAGGCGAGGCCCAUCAAGUCCAGCUAAUUAAUCUCUCUGUGGACCAUGGAAAAGGCAGUAUGGAAAUUCAGUAUGCACAGGAAAUGAAGCUGUAGAAAGUCGCACUGCAAUGCGAGUGCCACAUUUUAAAAACUACCCCGCUUUCCUUGAACGCGGCUGUAUUCACCGCUGGUCCACAAACACUAUGGGCCAAAUGAAAAUCUGCUGCUUAUUGAUCAGAUUAUAUAUGGUGAGAAGAGAAUGGCCAGGAGAAAAAGAAGUAGGAAGGAAGGGAAAUAUUUGAGAUCAAUAGCACUGAACAGAGAGAGUCCAAAAAGAACAAGUGAGGAGUGACUCGUGUACCUGCAGCAAACCCAUCUUGCAAAGCAAACAUGGCAGAGUAGUGUUUUCCAACACUGACGCUAAACACUUUGAGAGACAGUUAAAGUGUUUUUAAAAAAAAUCACAUGUAAUUAAGGAUUUUUAUAGUGUUAUCAGUUGAGCUGCCUCCUAGCCGCAGAGAACUAGGCACCAUCUAUUCAUUUCAGAGCUGCAAAGAAGAUGCCUUCUGGAGACCAUGAUUUUAUCUCCUGGCACAGGUUAGCCUUAUAUAAAUCUUAAUCCUUGCUUUAAACUAAUCCCAAAUUACCCAUGAAAUUUAGAAGAAUUUUGUACUAGAAGACAGCCUUGGUGAUAAUUUUGUGAUAAGCAAGACAAAGCCUUUGGAGCAGCAAGUUUUCCGGCGAGCUGGAUGAUUUCACUGUUAAAACUUGCUAACUGUUGAUUCAUCAGAUUUCCAAAGCAGCUUAGGCUGGAAAUCCUAACCUUGCUUCAGCUGAACCCAGCAUAGACCUUUAACUAGUUUCUUGGCAAAAUUAUUGAAAUAGAGAAUUUUAAUCUAUCUUUCCUGUUCCAAAGGCACAGAAUCGUGUCAAAUAAAACAUAGCCUGUACCCCCAAGAGAGGAUAAAUUAAACUGAACUUAGAAAUAAGAGUUGCAAGGAGGAAGACAUGCUCUGCUAGGAAGACGGUUCCUCGUCGGCCACCGAUCCAGCGCGAGCAGUGAGCGCAGCUCCGCUGCAGCCGGGAGAAGUAAAGCAGCAGCCACACGCCGCAUCCAAGCUGGCAAGCUCUGCGGCGCAGCAGAGCUGGGGUGCGAUACUGCACUUACACCUGAACUCGUGUCUCUGCGUGGUGCUGUGCAGCUCUGCAGCUGAGACCAGCUGAGAUGUGUGCACCAGGCUGCCCUGCAGAGGCACAAACUUCUUCUGUCAUGCCACCCUUGUAUUCACAACCUCUUAUUUUCCUACCAAUCCUUUCAGAAAUUAGACUUUUAGGCAGGAUUUAAAUGUCAAGGGAACUUCUUCAGCAGGAAGAGAGUAUUGGCUGUAUGUUUCCAGGCCAAACUGGUGAGAACAGCUUCCAGCUAUGAACAGUAAGGUAGAAUCAUACAAUAUCCCGAGCUGGAAGGGACCCACGAGGAUCACUGAGUCCAACUCCUGGCUCCACACAGGACCACCCAAAAAUCAGACCCCUAUAUCUGAGAGUGUUGUCCAAAUGCUUCUUCAACUCCAGCAGCUCGGUGCUGUGACCACUGCCCCGGGGAGCCUGUCCCAGUGCCUGACCACCUCUGGGUGCAGAACUUUUCCCUAACACCCAGCCUGACCCUCCCCUGUUGCAGUUUCAUGCCACUACAGCUCAGCAAACGAUGAGGAUGCUUCCAAUAUUUGACCAGUCUUAAAUAAAUGACUAAAUCCAGGACAGACUCGCCAAAAUGCUUAUUUUACCAAGGGCUUUGAUUUCCCUCGUUGGGAAUGGCUGCAUUUUAACACCAUCUUAAAGAAAAGCAAAACUUGGAGCAAAACAAAGAAAAGAUUUCAUGACAUGAGCAAUGGCAGCCCAAGAGGAGAUCCUGGCAAAAAAGACACCCAAAGCUGGUUUGUGGUCUUGGCUUUUGCCACUACUCUCUGACCGCAGUAAACUCAAGUGUACAAAAGAUGACAAGGACAAUAAAAAUAUUUCGAAGUUUUAAAAGGUAAAUCCAAACACCUUAUAAAAGGCAAAGCACUUGACAAAUAAUGUGCGAUACAAACAGGCGGAUACCUUUGGAUACCUCAAUAGGUCUCCAACUUAAGCAAGGAGGAGGGACACAGCUCAGCCAACCUUUGGGCAACACCACUGGCUGUGUUAAGGAGAAGAGAGGAAACGAGGUUAUCCACGGAGGAAAAAUUAGCCUGCGAUUGUGUGGCAGCACAAUUCCACUUGGAAAAUGAAAUGGAAAGGGCCUGUUAAGGGAAUGAAGAUGAGAAGCACGUAUGAAGGGCGAGGGAGUGCAGAUCAGUAGGAAGGCAGCAUUGAGGUGAGAACAGAACUGUGUAGGUGAUUUCUUCUUACGUGGCAGGGUGACAAACCAGCUGGGUAGGUGACUAGUGUUUUUCUAACAGCCUCUCAGGUUUCUAACACCACUCAUUGCUUUCUCACAACUAUAACCCACAAUUAACUGAGGCAGUGGUGGAGAGCGAUUGAGAGAAAGGAUGCAGGGUGACGGGAACGAGACAGACUUGAUACAAAAGAAUGAACAGAGAGUACCUCAAAUGUACGGGUGCCAAUGUGUGCAGCCUGGGGAACGAACGGGAGGAACUAGAGCUCUUGUGUGGUUACUACAGCACUGUGGGAGUAGCAGACGUGGUGGGAGCAUGGUGAUGGAUGGACGCAAGCUCCUCAAAGAGCUCGAAGGAAGGGUGACAAGGAUGUGGGAGUGUAUUACAGAGCAGCAGAUCGGGGUGAUGAGGACAGACAAUCACUGGAACAGGUUGUCUGGAGAGGUUGCAGUUUCCACCCUCAGAAAUUUUCAAGACCUGACUAGGUAAGAGCCUGAGCAACCUGGCCUGAUCUCAGAGCAGACCCUGCUUGAGCGGGAGGCUGGACUAGAUCCAAAGGUCUCUUCCAACCUGAAUUAUGCUAGGAUCUAAAGUACAAAGGACGGAAUUUUUGAAAUUGAGGCAGAGGAACAGGGCAUCUGGUACCACCUACGAAGUCCCAAUUUUGCGGCUGUCUCGACCAAGAGCACCAUGCGCACGUCCUCACCCAGUAGCUGGCUGGAGACCAUGCCUUCAGAUCUGAUGAAGCCACAGAGGAAUGAUGGAGCAGUGGCAACUGCAGCAAAACCCACUCCUGCAGCUCUUGUGAGCAUCAAAUAUCUAGGAAAAAAAAAAAAAUCCCUGGCAACAAAUGUGACCUUGAAGUUAAUGUCCCAAAGAGCAUUUUCUCAGGGCAAGGAACUUUCAAACGUUUCCAGUUUCCCUACCCAGUUCAGAGUCAGGGAACAUGAGACUGCACUGAGAAGUACUCCCAGCGAGGGGAGGGGGCAGGGGGUUAAAAAUGUGUUUAAUUUACUGAUGUUCCUUACAUAUGUCCUCCAACAGCACUGCCUGACAAUGCAGCGUAUCAGCACCAAGCCUGAGAAGCUCAGAGUUACGGCCUCGCUCUCGCCGAGACAGUGUUUACAUCUCCCCAGACCACGGGAGCAAGCUCUCCAGUACAGACUGUCUCCAUCCUCCUCUCUUGACAAAUACCCAACCCUUCUUUCUACCGACAGAACCAUCCCGAUCGUCUCUAACCAUCUUCAGCGUGACAAGGCUGCUGCCCCCAGGAAAUCCGAAUCACACCGCCUCUCGGUUUGCUAAAAACACCCCCUCAAACCUCGGUCCCCUUCUCCGCCUGGUUCUCUUCCCACAGGUGGCUGUGCUGUCCUGCGUUGUGGCUGCGUUGUCCACGUUGUGGCUGGGAGAAGCUGACCGGCUGCUCUCCACCCCCACAAGGCAGCCUCCUCUACGAAAGUUGGCAGAGUAAGUCAGCCCUGCUGGCAGCAACUGCUCCUCAACUCCUCCGAGCGUGGGUUUCACUCAGCAGCUGGCACCCGGAGCUUGCAGAUACCUGGAAGGAUCACCUGUGCGUUUUCCUUGCUGCUGCAAUGCUUUGACUUCUGUCUUCUCUUUUCAGAACUUGGCCCGCGGCCACGACAGUUGUUCAGAGCUAUUCCCGAAAGGGACAGACAGUCUAAACAGAAACGUGAUGCUGAAAGGCUCUGUGUAUGCAUCGACCACGUCCUGCCCGGCCUUUUAAGGAACACCAAGCAGCCUGAACGCCUGUGCACGUUCGCAAAUGAAGCGUUUUGACCAAAGUCAUGUUUCAGAGUGGCUCAACUGUAUAAGCAAAUUGCAAAGUUUACUGGUAUUUGGGUACAAGCAUCCUGUGUCUGGGUGUUAAAAUUCUUAAAGUCUUUCUCAGCUACAUUAGAACGAAGGCUCCCAGCCCUUUCACCAGCCUUGUUGCCCUCCUGUGGAUGCCUUCCAGCACCUUAACAUCCUUUUUGUAUUGUGGAGCCCUGAACUGCACACAAUAUUCAAGGUGAGGCCGUGCCAGCAUUAAUUAUAGCAGGAAAAACACCUCUUUUGGCAGGCUGUCUUUACUGCAUCCCAAAACGCUGCUUGCCAACUUGGCUGCCAGGGCACGCUGCUGCCAACCAGCACCCCUGGUCCCCUCCUGCUGAGCUGCUCCCAGCCACUCAUCUCCCGGUGUGUACCUGCAUCCAGCAUUGCUCCGUCCCAGGUGCAGAACUUGGCAUUCUCAGUUGUUGAACUUCACACCAUUGCUGACUGCCCGAUGCUCCGAUGGAUCCAGGCACCUCUGCAAGGCCUCUCACCCCUCCCGGGAGUCAACAGCACCUCCCAGUUCAGUAUCAGCAGCACACUUGCUAGGGAUGCGCUCUAAUCCUGCAUCCUGAUCACUGAUAAAAGCGAACAGAACCGGUCCUAGAACCAAGCCCUGGGGAACGCUGCUAGGGACUGGCCAGCAGCCUGAUGCAGCCCCACUCACUGCAACCCUUUGAGCUCUCCCCUGGGGCCCAUUCAUCACCCAGCGUAGUGUGAAGCUGGUUGCCUCACAGCUGGACAAUUUGCCCAGGUUACUGUGAGGGACAGUACCAAAGGCCUUACUAAAAUCUAGAAGACAUCCACAGCCGUCCCUUCAUCCACCACGGGGGGGGGGGCGGGGGAGUGACCAUGGAAGGAGAUCAACUUGCUAAGGCAGGACUUUCCCCUGAUGCUCCCAUGUUGACUAUGCUUGAUAAUAGCUUUGUUCUUUAAAUGCCUUUCAACGUCCCCCUGGAAAAUCUUCUUAACUCUUCCAGGGACUGAGAUUAGACUAACAGCUCCACAGUUUCCUGGGUCUUCUCAGAUGUUCUUCUCUUGGCUACCUUUCAGCCAGCAGGGACUUCCCAGACUCACACCACCUUUGGUAAAUAUUGGAUGUUAUAGCUGGAACCCUCAACAAACUCCUUCAGUUCUCUGGGGUGAAUCCCAUCAGGCCCUCAGGACUGUGAACACUGAGCUGAUACAACUGUUCCCUCACAAUUUUGGUGACCACAGAUGGAAAAUCAUUGCUCCCCCCAGCUCAGGGGACCAGCAACCCAAGAUUUAUCAUUAAUAUUAAACAUCGAGACAAAAAUGCAUUACAUGCCUCCACCUUUUCCUCAUUCUGAGUUGAAGAUUUCUCCUAGUUGCCUAUGGAGUAACUCAUCUCUGCUACCAUCCUGGGCAGGUGAUCAAUAGCAGACACCCACGACCACAUCUGCUUUGCUAUUCUUUCCCAUAAUCCUCACCCAGAGGCUCUCCAGCACAUCAUCCCUAUGCGGAGAUCCCUGUGGUACCCAUUUUGUUUGGCUGGACAAAAGGAAACUUGCAAGUACUCAAGUACCACCCUAACCUUCAACAGCUUCAAAGCCUACGGCUCGGGUAACAGGAGAAAAUUUAUUUAGGUUCUCUACAGGUCAAGGUAGCAAUGGACUGCUUACCACGCCAGUGCCAAGCUUGAUAUCAAAAGGUUUUGUUAGCACCAGUAACAAGUUACAACAAACUUCAUUCCAGCCUCCAAGAAGUUGUUCAUACAGUAGCACAAGGAUUUAAGUAGAAAGCUAAGUUUGAACUCCAAUGCCCAAAGCAGUUAAUACGAGAAUUAAUUCCUGUGACUAAGAUAAAAACUGUUAAAAUCAUUUGAUAAAAUGUUUAUGAACAUGAAAUGGACAGGUAUGAAUAUUAUUUUAAAGUCCAAAUAAAUUAACAUCACAUUGAUCUGUAAGAGGGUCUUCAGGCUAUUCCAGGUCUAAUUGAUUAGAUUGCUAACUGCUGAACAGUGCUUCUCCCCGCCCAGUGGUAUUUUACAAAUACUUCGUAAUUACAUGUUACUGCCCAAAUUAUUUCUGAUAAACAUACCUCUGGGAAAAGAGAACACACUCUUUAACUGCUAAUACCAACAUACCAGUUCAGACUACGCCAACAGAAAGUCCACACAAAAUCAUAUACCACUAGUAAAUUAAAGAAUCUAAAUAUAUUGAUGUUUAUGAGUACUGUUUCUUGUUCAAUAUUGCAUCUGUAUGAUAAUAUCUGAGUUACAGUAACCUCUUGCACAGAAUUUCUUUAAAGAGUUCUUUUUAAAGUUCUGUUUUAACAAACAGCAGUCUGUAAGUUGUUCUCAUCAUGCCUGCCAUUUAGUUUUAAUGGAUGAGUGGCUCCCAAACCGGACAGGUAGAAUACUCCCAAAUCUACCUGGAAAAAAUCUGACAUUUGAGUACUCUCUCUCCAUUUCUCUUUCUGUCUUCCUUCCUUCCAGCCCUCUCCAUCUUCCUCCAAAAACACUCUUUUAUGGUGAAAGCACAGAGAACUCAAUGCUUUCUUUAAGCCACCAAUAAACAUUUCUCACUGGUUUAGCUGAUCUGGAAGAGGUACAGUCAGUACUCUCCUGAAUAUAUGAAAAAUAAGGCAAGACUGGGGACAGGACUCAAACCUGUUACAUGACUCCCUGUGGAUCUCUGCAAAGAGCAGAGAGAUACAGAGAUCAUGAGAGGAAGGCUUUGGUGUUGCCUAGUAGGCAACAACUUUGAGGGGAGUGAUUAGGCAAGAAGAGCUCCUACUGGAACCUGAAAUACGGGCUUAAAGCGAAGCUGAAGGCAAAACGAGAAACAUGAGCACAUAUGAGUGAGACCCAGUCCUA